AUGUCAACUCCCAUCAUGCUCCGAGAGGAAAUCAAAGACUAUUCAAUGCCCCCCAUGGAAGUACUGCUGGGAAAGCAAGUUCCCCCUGGCCCUCUCUGGAGGAGGAGCCUAGGAAACUCCAAAAGGAAAUGGAUGCUGCUGCUGCCGCCGCUGCCAUGGAGAGGAGGGAGAAAAGAUGUGCAGAUCCUUGCUGCCUCAGAUUUCUCCUUCUCUGACCUGGACUGGAUUUCCUAUUGCUGACCCAGAUUGGACUCAACGACGACGUCGACAUUGUGUUUGGGUGACUUCAACAGACGUCUUCGGGCCCCUGCUGGUCGUCAAUUCCUGCCUGCUGACAUCCUGCUGGGAAUUGGAGUGCCUUCUUUGUUGUUUUACAAAGUUUGUUUUUAAACUGGAUUAUUCUCCGGUUUAAUCCGGGUUAUUUUCCAGAGUCUGGGGUUUUGUGUUGUUUGCUGGGAAUUCUGUGUUUCACACUGAAGUUAAGUGUUCUGAGCGUUUUGAGUUUGUUUUUGGGCUCCUUUUAGUUGUGAACUAAUAAACCGUAUUUUUACUAACGUCAGUCAGGUCUGGCGCUUUAAGGAGUCUGUGUUGCAACAUAUACUAUACUCUCAACUCAAGAAUAGGAGCCUCCAGUGGCACAGUGGGUUAGACCCUUGUGCCAGCAGGACUGAUGGCUUGAAGGUUGGGUUGCUGACCUAAUGGUUGUCAGUUCGAAUCCAACCCAGGGAGAGUGUGGAUGAGCUCUCUCUAUCAGCUUCAGCUCCAUGCAGGGACAUGAGAGAAGCCUCCCACAAGGAUAGUAAAAAACAUCAAAACAUCCGGACAUCCCCUGGGCAACGUCAUUGCAGAUGGUCAAUUCUGUCACACCAGAAGUGAAUUGCAUUUUCUCAAGUCGUUCCUGACACGAAAAAAAAAUCAAGAAUGGAAAAUGGAAUGUUGGUGAACAGGAAAAGAGAUUUAAAGAUGGGCUUGAAGCUAACCUUAAAAACUAUGUCAUAGACACCAAGAACUGGGAAGCCCUGGCCCUUGAGUGUGCUAACUGGAGGUCAGCUGUUACCAACAGUGUUGUGGAAUUCGAAGAGGCAUGAAUGGAGGGCGAAAGGGAGAAAUGUGUCAAUAUGUUGGCACAUCAAGUCAACCCUUUACAGGACUACUUCCCAUCUGGAAAUUGAUUUUGUUACUGCAAAAGAACAUGUGGAUCAAGAAUAGGUCUCUACAGUUACCUACAAACCCACCGCCAUGACCCUACACAUUCCAUUUUCCAUUCUUGAUUUUUUUUCGUGUCAGGAACGACUUGAGAAAAUGCAAUUCACUUCUGGUGUGACAGAAUUGACCAUCUGCAAUGACGUUGCCCAGGGGAUGCCCGGAUGUUUUGAUGCAAUCGCUACGAGCGAUAGCCUAUGAUGAUGAGAUUAUAUAUUAGCAUUACUACUUGUUUCAUUGAUGGAAAAAUUGUUAUAUAUUUAAGAUAGAGUGAUUAUACAGUAGGCAUUGUUAUACACUGGGUUUUGGUUCUACUACCUCCCAUGGAUACCAAAAUCCAUAGCUGUCAAGUCGCAUUAUAUAUAAUGGGGUCCCUUUUAUA
rnacentral:lncRNA from 1 species